CGGUGGAGCAUGUGGUUUAAUUCGAUGCAACGCGAAGAACCUUACCUGGGCUUGACAUCCCGGGAAUCCCUUGGAAACAAGGGAGUGCCCUUCGGGGAACCUGGAGACAGGUGCUGCAUGGCUGUCGUCAGCUCGUGUCGUGAGAUGUAGGGUUAAGUCCCGCAACGAGCGCAACCCUUGUCUUUAAUUGCCAUCAUUGAGUUGGGCACUUUAAAGAGACUGCCGGUGUUAAACCGGAGGAAGGUGGGGAUGACGUCAAGUCCUCAUGGCCUUUAUGCCCAGGGCUACACACGUGCUACAAUGGGUGGUACAAAGAGCAGCCAGCUCGCGAGAGUGAGCAAAUCUCAAAAAGCCAUCCUCAGUUCGGAUUGCAGGCUGAAACUGCCUGCAUGAAGUUGGAGUUGCUAGUAACCGCAGGUCAGCACACUGCGGUGAAUACGUUCUCGGGCCUU
rnacentral:rRNA from 1 species